UGCGUAACACGUGAACAAUCUACCUUUUAGUGUGGAAUAGCUCGCCGAAAGGCGAAUUAAUACCGCAUGUGAUUGAGUCUCUCAUGAGAUUUAUAUUAAAGUCGGGGACCGCAAGGCCUGACGCUAGAAGAGGAGUUCGCGGCCUAUCAGCUAGUUGGCGAGGUAACGGCUCACCAAGGCUAAGACGGGUAGCUGGUCUGAGAGGAUGACCAGUCACACUGGAACUGAGACACGGUCCAGACACC
rnacentral:rRNA from 1 species